AGAGUUUGAUCAUGGCUCAGGAUAAACGCUGGCGGCGUGCCUAAAACAUGCAAGUCGAACGGUCAUGCGCUUUCGGGCGUGUGGUAGUGGCGGACGGCUGAGUAACACGUGGGUGACCUGCCCUCGAGCGGGGGAUAACUGCCCGAAAGGGUGGCUAAUACCGCAGACAUCGCGCAUUCGGUUGUGCGAUUGAACCUCCGGGGUUCGGGGAGGGGCCCGCGGUCGAUUAGCUAGCUGGUGGGGUAACGGCCUACCAGGGCUUCGAUCGAUAGCUGGUCUGAGAGGAUGAUCAGCCAGACUGGGACUGCGAACGGCCCAGACUCCUACGGGAGGCAGCAGUUAGGAAUUUUGGGCAAUGGGCGAAAGCCUGACCCAGCAACGCCGCGUGGGUGAUGAAGGCCCUCGGGUCGUAAAGCCCUUUUCCCAGGGACGAUAGUGACGGUACCUGGGGAAUCAGCCCCGGCUAACUACGUGCCAGCAGCCGCGGUAAUACGUAGGGGGCAAGCGUUGUCCGGAUUUAUUGGGCGUAAAGCGCUCGCAGGUGGUUCGAUGCGUCGUGCGUGAAAGACCCCGGCUCAACUGGGGAGGGUCGUGCGAUACGGUCGAACUGGAGGCCAGUAGGGGGAUGCGGAAUUCCGGGUGUAGUGGUGGAAUGCGUAGAGAUCCGGAGGAACACCAGCGGCGAAGGCGGCAUCCUGGACUGGUCCUGACACUCAGGAGCGAAAGCGUGGGGAGCGAUCCGGAUUAGAUACCCUAGUAGUCC
rnacentral:rRNA from 1 species